UUUUAAUAUGGUAAAAUAUACAUAACAUUAAAUUUACCAUCUUAACCAUUUUGAAUAUACAAUUCAGUGACAUUAAGUAUAUUCCUAAUGUGGUACAGCCAUCAUUGCCAUUUAUCUCCAGAACUCUUUUUCAUGUUGCAAAACUGAAACUCUAUAUCCAUUACACAAUAACUGUCCAUUUCCUCUCCCCACCAGCCUCUUGACUUUUAAAUAGAGUGUGUUCUAAAUGUUUUUUUUUUAAUCUGAACUGUAAUUUGUUUAUAGGAGCAACACAGUCAGUGAUGGUUGAAUUUCCAAACUGCUCCACAAAAUCCUAUUUAUAAACUAGCUAAUAAAACUUAUUAAAUUGACAAAAACACACAAAUUAAUGGACAAGAUUAGAAGCCAUAAUAGGUAGUAGGUUGAAACCUGGUAUAAAUGAAAGAUAUCUGUUUAAAAAAACCCACUUUAUUGGGUACAAGAUGAUCCUUAAUAAAUAUGGAGAUGGACAGUUUCUGCUUGGCAUCCGCCAUACCUUUUGUUGGUUUAUCUCUUACAUCAUGGUGCUUUUCUUUCCAACUUCUAAACACUUACUUCCCUCAUACUAUCCUAAGCCUACAUGCCAUGCCCCACACAGUCCUGUAUCAUUCCUUGAAAGUCCCAUACUUUAAAACCACUUCCUUCUCUUUGCACAUUUUGAUUGGAGAGCUUCAAACAUGAAGGUGAGAUAUUUUAUAUUAACAUAGACUAGAAAGAUAUCUGAAAACAUCAUUUUGCAAGUUAUUUUUCAUAUUCUUAGAACCCAUGAGAAUUCACAGAUAGUAUUACAUUGCCAGGUAAAAGAAAAAGAAAUGAUUCCAUCACACCAUGCAAAAUACCAAAUAAAGAGCAUUAAGAAGUACUAGAGAUGACAUUCCAUACAGCUUGAACUGUUUAUCAGAACUUUUUCAGAUGCCAACUUUGUGGCUUACAGAGAAGCUGCUCUGUUAUUAAACUUAAAAAAAAAGUUAAAUUACAUUUGCUACAGUUGAAUCAUAGAUACUGAAUUUUAUAAAUUCCCUCGAGUAAGAAUCUCAAUUUACUUUCUUUCUCCAUCUAUUACUGUUUCCAUGUUUUAUACUACUUGAGGAACUUAGACCUGAGGUUGGAGACGGUGAAAAUUUAAACUGCAAAUUUUGGAGGAGUGAGAGUGGCUGCAAACUACUAAGCCAGAAGUCAUUUCUCUGGGCUUCCAUAGGUAGUUUGUAUGUAGAGAAUCAAAUGGUUCUCAUUUUUCUGGUUUCCUUUAGCUUCUCAUGUAUCCUCUAACCAGUACUUGCUUGAAGGUCAUCUCUCAUCUGAAUGUUACCAUUUCUUGCUGGCUAGGGCAUUUCAGCAAAGGUCUUUGUCCCUUUUCUUCUUAUUCUUCUAUUUUAAUCAUUGCUGCACUUGGUUUAUAACUGUGACAUCUUCACGUCAGUAAUUCUUACAGGUAUAAUGCCAAGUAAAGUUACCCUUUUCAGCUGAAAACAUUGCCAUAGGGUAAACCUGGUUUGAACACUGACUCUGUGCAGCCAUGUGAACUUGGACAAACUUGUUGAUUUCUCUGUGACUUAAUUUCCUGA
rnacentral:lncRNA from 10 species